GUACACUCCUGCGGGAGGCAGCAGUGGGGAAUUUUGGACAAUGGGCGAAAGCCUGAUCCAGCAAUGCCGCGUGUGUGAAGAAGGCCUUCGGGUUGUAAAGCACUUUUGUCCGGAAAGAAAUCCUUGGCUCUAAUACAGUCGAGGGAUGACGGUACCGGAAGAAUAAGCACCGGCUAACUACGUGCCAGCAGCCGCGGUAAUACGUAGGGUGCGAGCGUUAAUCGGAAUUACUGGGCGUAAAGCGUGCGCAGGCGGUUUGCUAAGACCGAUGUGAAAUCCCCGGGCUCAACCUGGGAACUGCAUUGGUGACUGGCAGGCUAGAGUAUGGCAGAGGGGGGUAGAAUUCCACGUGUAGCAGUGAAAUGCGUAGAGAUGUGGAGGAAUACCGAUGGCGAAGGCAGCCCCCUGGGCCAAUACUGACGCUCAUGCACGAAAGCGUGGGGAGCAAACAGGAUUAGAUACCCGAGUAGUCCCAUGA
rnacentral:rRNA from 1 species